UGAGGGAAAGGCGAAAAGAACCCCGGCGAGGGGAGUGAAAAAGAACCUGAAACCGUGUACGUACAAGCAGUGGGAGCACAGGUUUACCUGUGUGACUGCGUACCUUUUGUAUAAUGGGUCAGCGACUUAUAUUCUGUAGCAAGGUUAACCGUAUAGGGGAGCCGUAGGGAAACCGAGUCUUAACCGGGCGUUAAGUUGCAGGGUAUAGACCCGAAACCCGGUGAUCUAGCCAUGGGCAGGUUGAAGGUUGGGUAACACUAACUGGAGGACCGAACCGACUAAUGUUGAAAAAUUAGCGGAUGACCUGUGGCUGGGGGUGAAAGGCCAAUCAAACCGGGAGAUAGCUGGUUCUCCCCGAAAGCUAUUUAGGUAGCGCCUCGUGAAUUCAUCUCCGGGGGUAGAGCACUGUUUCGGCUAGGGGGCCAUCCCGGCUUACCAACCCGAUGCAAACUGCGAAUACCGGAGAAUGUUAUCACGGGAGACACACGGCGGGUGCUAACGUCCGUCGUGAAGAGGGAAACAACCCAGACCGCCAGCUAAGGUCCCAAAGUCAUGGUUAAGUGGGAAACGAUGUGGGAAGGCCCAGACAGCCAGGAUGUUGGCUUAGAAGCAGCCAUCAUUUAAAGAAAGCGUAAUAGCUCACUGGUCGAGUCGGCCUGCGCGGAAGAUGUAACGGGGCUAAACCAUGCACCGAAGCUGCGGCAGCGACGCUUAUGCGUUGUUGGGUAGGGGAGCGUUCUGUAAGCCUGUGAAGGUGUGUCGUGAGGCAUGCUGGAGGUAUCAGAAGUGCGAAUGCUGACAUAAGUAACGAUAAAGCGGGUGAAAAGCCCGCUCGCCGGAAGACC
rnacentral:rRNA from 1 species